AUGGAUUUGAACUUGAUCCCGGAAGAGGAGGACGAAGCUCAACAAGAAGAACAAGCUCAUCAAGGUGACGCUAUUGAUUUGAACUUGAUCCCGGAAGAGGAGGAUGAAGCUCAACAAGAAGAACAAGCUCAUCAAGGUGAUGCUAUUGAUUUGAACUUGAUCCCGGAAGAGGAGGAUGAAGACAUUGAAUUGAAUUGGUUUCCUGAAGAGGAAGAAGCUCAAGAUGCACAAGAAGAUGCAGAAGUGCAAGAAGCUCAAGAGGCACAAGAAGAUGCAGAGGUGCAAGAAGCUCAAGAAGCUGAUGGACAUGGCAAUCCAAGAGGGAAGGACAUGACAGACAAGGAGAGACAUGGUGUUUACUUUUCUCUUCGAGUAAUCGAGCUUAGAGAUGGACAGGUUCACGUGUAUGACAAGGUGCGCAUUGCGACUAUGCUGAAUGUUAACCUGCGAACAGUUACAAGAAUAUGGAAUCUAGCCAAACGACAACUUGCAACAGGCCAAGAAGUUGAUGUUUCAAGCAAGAAGAACAAAAGUGGUAGGAAGAGAAAAGGACUAGAUCUGUCGAGAAUAGCCACAAUCCCUUUGAACAACAGAAGCAGAAUCCGUUCUCUAGCCAGGUGUUUAGGUGUGCCCCGAUCAACCCUACAUGACAGAUUUCAACUGCAAGAGCUGAAACGCAUCACAAGCACCAUCAAACCCACCCUCAAGCCACAAAACAAGAUAGCGAGACUAAAGUUCUGCCUAUCCAUGAUGGAUGAAAGAUGGAUAUCAAGUCCUUGGCCCAGGUUCAAGCCAAUGACAAAUAUGGUCCACAUCGAUGAGAAAUGGUAUGAUAUGACCCGAGUGAAGAGUAGCUACUACGUACUGCCUGGAGAAGAAGAACCAAAUCGAACUAUGCACAAUACUCAUAGCAUUGGGAAGGUAAUGUUUCUAACAGCUGUGGCCAAACCUCGCUACAAUGAAGAUGGGGAGAUGACAUUUGAUGGAAAACUUGGCAUUUGGCCAUUCGUGGUACAGACCGAGGCACAACGAACAAGCCAGAACAGAGAUAGGGGGACAAUAGAGUUGAAGCCGGUCAAAGUUACUAGACCUAUGUGCAGAGAUUACCUGAUCAAUAAAGUAAUCCCUACCAUUCAAGAAAAAUGGCCUGACGGUAACGAGGACACAACGAUCUUCAUUCAACAAGAUAAUGCAACACCGCAUGUCCUCCCUAAUGAUGCUGGUUUUCUAGAAGCCGUGGCACAGACAGAUCUGGAUAUUCGAUUAUUGCAACAACCACCAAACAGCCCCGAGCUCAGUGUUCUAGAUCUUUGUUUCCACUGCUCCCUCCAAUCCCUAACCGACUGCAGAGCGCCUAUGAAUAUACAGGAACUGGUACAUGGUGUAGAGGAGGAGUUUGAGAACUACAAUGCCCAUAAGUUGUUCAAAAGCUUUAUGACAUUGCAAGCAGUCAUGGUUGAAGUGAUGAAAGAUCAAGGAGGAAACAACUACAAGAUGCCGCAUCUGCAUAAGGAAUGUCUACAGAAUGCUGGAGAGGAAAUAAUCGGUGUAUACUGCAGUCCUGAGCUAAUUACUGACACCAAGGCCAUUAUAGAACAAGGAAAUGAUUAG
rnacentral:rRNA from 1 species